rnacentral:rRNA from 1 species
UACAGAGGGGGCAAGCGUUGUCCGGAAUCACUGGGCGUAAAGGGCGCGUAGGCGGCUCGUUAAGGGUGCGGUGAAAGCCCGGGGCUUAACCCCGGGUCGGCCGUGCCGACUGAUGAGCUCGAGCACUGUAGAGGCAGGUGGAAUUCCGGGUGUAGCGGUGGAAUGCGUAGAGAUCCGGAAGAACACCAGUGGCGAAGGCGGCCUGCUGGGCAGUGGCUGACGCUGAGGCGCGACAGCGUGGGGAGCAAACAGG